rnacentral:lncRNA from 1 species
AAAGAUUUUGGAGUAGACGUCACGGCAAAAGCUGGGGCUGAUUUAGAGGCGUUCGCCAAAAAGGGACACUUAAUUGGAGCAGAAAUAAAAGCUAGCGGAACAUUGGUAGAUGCUUCAGGAGGCCCUUUUAGGGUUCAUCUCGGAGUUGGUGUUUCAACCGGGGCUAAGUAGAAAAUGUGACCGUAGAGGCAAAGCUUGCUGGAUGUGGACUCAAACUUGGGGAACGAAUUGGAAUUGCUAUUUUAAAUAAAGAAAUCACCGUUGAAGCGCUCUCACUUUUUGGAAAAGGAUGGCUUUGGGGAAGUUUGGAC